UAAAACAAGUUCGGAGAGGUCCGAAAGUCACUGUCCCUAUCUACUAUCUAGCGAAACCACAGCCAAGGGAACGGGCUUGGAAUAAUUAGCGGGGAAAGAAGACCCUUUUGAGCUUGACUCUAAUCUGGCAGUGUAAGGAGACAUAAGAGGUGUAGAAUAAGUGGGAGAUAUUAGACCUCGGUUUGGUAUCGUCAAUGAAAUACCACUACUCUUAUUGUUUCCUUACUUACUUGAUUAAAUGGAACGUGUAUCAUUUCCUAGCCAUUAUACGGAUAUAUUUAUUAUAUCUUAUGGUAUUGGGUUUUGAUGCAAGCUUCUUGAUCAAAGUAUCACGAGUUUGUUAUAUAAUCGCAAACAAAUUCUUUAAUAAAACGAUGCAUUUAUGUAUUUUUGAUUUGAAAAUUUGGUAUAACUCCAAUUACUCAGGUAUGAUCCAAUUCAAGGACAUUGCCAGGUAGGGAGUUUGACUGGGGCGGUACAUCUCUCAAAUAAUAACGGAGGUGUCCCAAGGCCAGCUCAGUGCGGACAGAAACCACACAUAGAGCAAAAGGGCAAAUGCUGACUUGAUCUCGGUGUUCAGUACACACAGGGACAGCAAAAGCUCGGCCUAUCGAUCCUUUUGGUUUAAAGAGUUUUU
rnacentral:ncRNA from 1 species